rnacentral:tRNA from 1 species
AGUCUUAUAUUCAAAUAUGAUUUAAAAUUGCAAAUUUUAAGGUAUAAUAAUAGAAUAUUAUUAAGGCUU